CUGUAGCCAGUCCUGUGUGCCCCUGCUGGAUUCUGCUUCUAUGAGGGAGGCAGCAAGGAGUUGGGACUUCACAGGUGAAAGGACUUGCCAGGUUUUGUUCAGGUUUAGCACAAGCUGUGAUGAAUAUCUUCAAGCCUCUGCUUCCUGCUGUGGAAUUGUUGCCAAAGGACACAUUCCCAGAUGGGAUUACUGAGUCAGAGGAAGUGGACAUUGAGUGGCUCUCAACAGACAGGCUGUGUUGCUCUCACAGUGCCCAGGUACCACCAGCAAUGUAUACACAUACAGGAAGCGCCGGCUUCCCUGUUGUCUUGUUGCUGUGGCGUGUUGGGGUCUCUAAGACCACCCUGGGUUUGUUGAUUGGCUAGGAGAACUCGCAGAACUCAGCAUACAGUGAUACUCGAGGCUAUGAUGUAUUACGACAACUGGAAAUGAAGCAAAUUCAGCAAAGGAAAAAGGCACAUGGGUCAAGUCCAGAGGAAAUGGAGUGUGAGGGUCCAAGACCCUCUCACAUGCUGGACGCGCCCACUUCCCCCAGAAGUGUGUUGGGACAACACGUGUGGAAUGUCAUUUGUCAGGGACACUCACUAGAGAUUUGGCACCGAGGGUUUUACUGCAGGCUAGUCACAAAGGCCCCCUCUGCCUAGCAUGUACCAAAAUUCUGGACUCCCAGUACGAAGACAUAAACCACAGUGUUUACACAGUUUAGGGGCAGUGAGCCAUUCAUAUCAGGGAAGGGCGGGAACCCUCCCCAAAUCCAAUUUCCCAGAUACGAACCAAGGGCCAACCUUGCAAGCAGUCCUUGCUAAAGAUAACAUUGCUAUAAUUUGUAUUUCUUUCAUUUUUCUUUUGAGAGUAAAUCAUUUCGAUAUAAAAUAAUGAGAUGGGACCUGGCCAUCCGAAGGUUCAUUCACUCUCAAGGCUGGAGGUUGAUGCCAGCUGUCGGCUGUGACCUCAGGUGGGUCUGGCGGCCAGCUGCGGCCCCUCCAUGUGGCUUGGGCUUCUCUCCAGUGUGAAGUGGCUGUGUUUCAAGGAUGAGGAACUGACAAAGAGGGAACCAGGUGGAAGCAGUGUCACCUUUUCUAUCCUAACCACAGAAGCCACCCUGUGCCACUUCUACCACAUUGUUUAUUAGAAACAAGUAUGAAUACUGGCCCAUAUUCAAAGGGAGGAGAAUUAAACUCCACUUUUGAUGGGAGGAGGAUCAAAUAAUUUAUAGAGGUUAUUUAAAACCAUCACAAACAUAUUAGAUUUGCCAUGUUUAGGCAUUUAUUCUGCAAAAAAACAUACAAAUGUGCAAAGUUACUUGAGGCUAUUUUCUGCAGUGUUAUUUGUGUUAGUUAAAAAAAAAAAGGAAACAAUCUAAAUGUCCAUCAAGGGUCAGGUGCAGUGGCUCACGCCUGUGAUCCCAGCACUUUGGGAGGCCGAGGCGGGUGGAUUAUCUGAGGUCAGGAGUUCGAGACCAACCUGGCCAACAUGGUGAAACCCCAUCUCUAUUAAAAGUACAAAAAAUUAGCCGGGCAUGGUGGUGCAUGCCUGUAGUCCCAGCUACUCGGGAGGCUGAGGCAGGAGAAUUGCUUGAACUCUGGAGGUGGAGGUUACAGUGAGCUGAGAUCGUGCCACUGC
ensembl:lncRNA novel transcript